rnacentral:rRNA from 1 species
UUGUCAUUUCCGCCUAUAUACCACCGUCGUCAGCUUACCCUGUGAAGGCCCAAUAGUAAGCGCAAUCGGCAAUGCCCAAAACGUCAGGUCGAGGUGUAGCGAAUGGAAGGGGAAGAAAUGGGCUACAUUUACUAACACAGUAAAUACGGAUGAUUACCCUGCAACGAGUAUCUGAAGGAGGAUUUAGCAGUAAGCAAAAAGCAGAGUGUUUUGCUGAAAUUGGCCCUGAAGCGUGCACACACCGCCCGUCACUCUCUCCGAACUAAAACUUUAAACAUAACUAAUAUGCUAUAACUGUAAAGGGGAGGCAAGUCGUAACAUGGUAAGCGUACCGGAAGGUGCGCUUGGAAAAAC